rnacentral:rRNA from 1 species
AUAUCAAUAAGCGGAGGAAAAGAAACUAACAAGGAUUCCCCUAGUAACUGCGAGUGAAGCGGGAUGAGCUCAAAUUUGAAAUCUGGGAAGUUCUACUUCUCCGAAUUGUAGUUUAAAGAAGUGUUUUCUGAGGCAGCUUGGGUAUAAGUUCUUUGGAACAGGACAUCAUAGAGGGUGAGAAUCCCGUCUUUGGCUCAAGUACUGUCGCUAUGUGAUACACUUUCAAAGAGUCGGGUUGUUUGGGAUUGCAGCCCAAAAUUGGUGGUAAAUUUCAUCUAAGGCUAAAUAUUGGCGAGAGACCGAUAGCGCACAAGUA